AGCCACUUGAGAAGGAUGCAGGAGAGAGGACCAUUGCAUGGUUGGACAAGAUUAGGAACUCAAAUGGUUCACUGCCUACAUCAAAGAUUCGGCUGAAUAUGCAGAGAGUUAUGCAAAACAAUGCUGCUGUGUUCCGCACACAAGAAACACUAGAGGAAGGUAGGCAAGAGGUUUUCAUCUUUGUUAAAAUUUAUUUCAGUUUUUUUUUCCAUAAGAGUUGUCUGGGGAAGGAUUCUGUUUCUUCUAAGUUUUUGGUGACUUUAUCAGCUGAGCUGACUACUUCCUCUGCACCCUUUUCCUCUAUUGCCUUACAGGUUGCCAGCUCAUUGACAAAACAUGGGAAAGUUUCCAUGAUGUUCAGUUGAAGGAUAGAAGUUUAAUAUGGUAUUAUUGCUAGGAGAAUAUCAAUUCUUAUUAAGUAGUAUUAAGGUGUUUCGUAUCCUCUUUGCUUUUUUUGAAUUUCCUCCUAUUUUUAAUUCGUAGGAACUCAGAUCUUAUAGAGACUAUUGAGCUGGAAAACCUUUUGAUCAAUGCAUGCAUCACCAUGCACUCAGCCGAGGCUAGAAAGGAAAGCAGAGGAGCUCACGCUCGUGAAGAUUUUACGGUCAGUUUCAAUUUCUCUCCUAUAGCCCGUUUGGCCAAGCUGCAAAAAUCAGCUUAUUUUGAGAAGUGCUUUUUUUCAAAAGUACUUUUGGUGAGAAGCAGUUUGUGUUUGGCUAAUUAGUUUGAAAAGCACUUCUGAACAGCAAUUAGUGUUUGGCCAAGCUUUAAAAAAUUGCUUCUAAGUGUAUUUUUCUCAAAAGUGCUUGUCAAAAAAGUACUUUUGGAGAGAAUUACUUUUUUCUGCUUCUCCAAAACUGCUUUUGCUUCUCCUCAAAAGCACUUUUUUUCCUUCCAAAAGCUUGGCCAAACAACUCAAUUUUUGGCCAAAAGUGCUUUUGGCAAAAAAUAAAAAUAAAAAAAAACACUUUUGGCCAAAAAGAAGCUUGGCCAAACAUGCUACUAGUCUCCUUGUGAACCAGUU
rnacentral:lncRNA from 1 species